rnacentral:rRNA from 1 species
GCUAGGUACUUCUCUGGGCACACCUGACUUUAGCUCUUCUCUUGGAAGCUAAGCAAGGUUGGGCCUGGUCAGUAUCUGGAUGGGAGACUCCCUGGAGACAUCUAUGUGAGUU